rnacentral:rRNA from 1 species
UACAAAUGUGGCAAGCGUUGUUCGGAAUCACUGGGCAUAAAGCGCACGUAGGCGGUGUGGUAAGUUGAUUUGUGAAAUCCCUCGGCUCAACCGAGGAAUUGCAGUCAAUACUGCUAUACUGGAGUACAGGAGGGGAGAGCGGAAUUCUAGGUGUAGCGGUGGAAUGCGAUGAUAUCUAGGAGAAGGCCGGUAGCGAAAGCGGCUCUCUGGUCUGAUACUGACGCUGAGGUGCGAAAGCGUAGGUAGCGAACGGGAUUAGAUACCCGCGUA